rnacentral:rRNA from 1 species
GUUGCAGUUAAAAAGCUCGUAGUUGGAUUUCUGCGGGGGCGGGGCGGCCGGAUGCUUAUAGCAUCUCGAGCUAGCACUUCCCCCGCAUCCUGCCGCGAACCGUGCUACCAUUAGUUUGGUGGCGCUGGGGAUCGGCUCGUUUACUUUGAGAAAAAUAGAGUGUUCAAAGCAGGCCACACGCCUCGAAUAAGUUAGCAUGGAAUAAUGAUAAAGGACUUCGGUUCUAUUUUGUUGGUGUUCGGGACUGAAGUAAUGAUUGAUAGGGACAGUUGGGGCGGUCAGUAUUCCAAAGCGAGAGGUGAAAUUCUUAGACCUUCGGAAGACUAACAGCUGCGAAAGCGUUCCGCAAGGAUGUUCCCUUUGAUCAAGAACGAAAGUUGGGGGAUCGAAGACGAUCAGAUACCGUCGUAGUCUCAACUAUAAACUAUACCAGCUAGGGAUCGGCCGACGUUUACUUAUAUCGACUCGGUCGGCACCUUAUGAGAAAUCAAAGCAUCUGGGUUCCGGGGGGAG